CCUACGGGCGGCAGCAGUGAGGAAUAUUGGUCAAUGGCCGUAAGGCUGAACCAGCCAAGUAGCGUGAGGGAAGAAUGCCCUAUGGGUUGUAAACCUCUUUUAUGCGGGGAUAAAGGUGUCCACGUGUGGAUGUUUGCAGGUACCGCAUGAAUAAGGAUCGGCUAAUUCCGUGCCAGCAGCCGCGGUAAUACGGAGGGUCCGGGCGUUAUCCGGAUUUAUUGGGUUUAAAUGGUGCGUAGGGCGGUCUUUAAGGCUGCCGUGAAAUUUUGUGGCUCAACCAUAAGAUGGCGGCGGAAACUGGAAACCUUGAGUGCGUGGAAGGUAGGCGGAAUUCGUGGUGUAGCGGUGAAAUGCUUAGAUAUCACGAAGAACCCCGAUUGCGAAGGCAGCCUGCCGAGCCAUUACUGACGCUGAAGCUCGAAAGCGCGGGUAUCGAACAGGAUUAGAUACCCCUGUAGUC
rnacentral:rRNA from 1 species